rnacentral:rRNA from 1 species
AGUGAACGCUGGCGGCAGGCCUAACACAUGCAAGUCGAACGAACCCUUCGGGGUUAGUGGCGGACGGGUGAGUAACACGUGGGAACGUGCCUUUAGGCCCGGAAUAACUCUGGGAAACUUGUGCUAAUACCGAAUGUGCCCUUCGGGGGAAAGAUUAAUCGCCUUUAGAGCCGCCGGCGUCUUACUAGAUAGUCGCUUGAGGUACUGGCUCACCAAGGCGACGCUCAGUAGCUGGUCUGAGAGGAUGGUCAGCAAAAUUAGGACAGAGACACGGCCCAAACUCAGGCGAGAGGGAGCAGGGGGGAAACUGGCACAUUGGGCGGAAGCAUGACGCAGCCAAGCCGCGAGAAUGAUGAAGGUCGUAGGAAUGUAAAAUUCUUUCUCCGGGGACGAUAAUGACGGAACCAGAAGAAGAAGCCCCGGCUAGCUGCGU